AGGAUUAUAGUUUAUAUAAAACAUUUGAUUUGCACUCAAAAAAUAUUGAAUACCCCAAUUUAUCUUA
rnacentral:tRNA from 2 species